rnacentral:rRNA from 1 species
UACGUAGGGGGGCUAGCGUUGUCCGGAAUCAUUGGGCGUAAAGAGCGUGUAGGCGGUCCGGUAAGUCAGCUGUGAAAGUCAAGGGCUCAACCCUUGAAUGCCGGUUGAUACUGUCGGGCUAGAGUCCGGGAAGAGGCGAGUGGAAUUCCCGGUGUAGCGGUGAAAUGCGCAGAUAUCGGGAGGAACACCAGUAGCGAAGGCGCACCCUGGGCCGGUACUGACGCUGAGGAGCGAAAGCGUGGGGAGCAAACAGG